GAUGAACGCUGGCGGCGUGCCUAAUACAUGCAAGUCGAGCGAACAGACGAGGAGCUUGCUCCUCUGACGUUAGCGGCGGACGGGUGAGUAACACGUGGAUAACCUACCUAUAAGACUGGGAUAACUUCGGGAAACCGGAGCUAAUACCGGAUAAUAUAUUAAACCGCAUGGUUCAAUAGUGAAAGACGGUUUUGCUGUCACUUAUAGAUGGAUCCGCGCCGCAUUAGCUAGUUGGUAAGGUAACGGCUUACCAAGGCAACGAUGCGUAGCCGACCUGAGAGGGUGAUCGGCCACACUGGAACUGAGACACGGUCCAGACUCCUACGGGGGGCAGCAGUAGGGAAUCUUCCGCAAUGGGCGAAAGCCUGACGGAGCAACGCCGCGUGAGUGAUGAAGGUCUUCGGAUCGUAAAACUCUGUUAUUAGGGAAGAACAAAUGUGUAAGUAACUAUGCACGUCUUGACGGUACCUAAUCAGAAAGCCACGGCUAACUACGUG
rnacentral:rRNA from 1 species